UGGGGAAUUUUGGACAAUGGGCGAAAGCCUGAUCCAGCAAUGCCGCGUGUGUGAAGAAGGCCUUCGGGUUGUAAAGCACUUUUGUCCGGAAAGAAAUCCUUGGCUCUAAUACAGUCGGGGGAUGACGGUACCGGAAGAAUAAGCACCGGCUAACUACGUGCCAGCAGCCGCGGUAAUACGUAGGGUGCAAGCGUUAAUCGGAAUUACUGGGCGUAAAGCGUGCGCAGGCGGUUUGCUAAGACCGAUGUGAAAUCCCCGGGCUCAACCUGGGAACUGCAUUGGUGACUGGCAGGCUAGAGUAUGGCAGAGGGGGGUAGAAUUCCACGUGUAGCAGUGAAAUGCGUAGAGAUGUGGAGGAAUACCGAUGGCGAAGGCAGCCCCCUGGGCCAAUACUGACGCUCAUGCACGAAAGCGUGGGGAGCAAACAGGAUUAGAUACCCUGGUAGUCCACGCCCUAAACGAUGUCAACUAGUUGUUGGGGAUUCAUUUCCUUAGUAACGCAGCUAACGCGUGAAGUUGACCGCCUGGGGAGUACGGUCGCAAGAUUAAAACUCAAAUGAAUUGACGGGGUCAUAGCUGUUUCCU
rnacentral:rRNA from 1 species